UCCUCCCUCUUUCUUCGUGCCUAAUACAUGCAAGUCGAACGAGAGCGACCGGUGCUUGCACUGGUCAAUCUAGUGGCGAACGGGUGAGUAACACGUGGGUAACCUGCACAUCAGAGGGGGAUAACAUCCGGAAACGGAUGCUAAAACCGCAUAGGUCUUCGAACCGCAUGGUUUGAAGAGGAAAAGAGGCGCAAGCUUCUGCUGAUGGAUGGACCCGCGGUGCAUUAGCUAGUUGGUGAGGUAACGGCUCACCAAGGCCGUGAUGCAUAGCCGACCUGAGAGGGUGAUCGGCCACAUUGGGACUGAGACACGGCCCAAACUCCUACGGGAGGCAGCAGUAGGGAAUCUUCCGCAAUGGACGCAAGUCUGACGGAGCAACGCCGCGUGAGUGAAGAAGGUUUUCGGAUCGUAAAACUCUGUUGUUAGAGAAGAACAAGUGCUAGAGUAACUGUUAGCGCCUUGACGGUAUCUAACCAGAAAGCCACGGCUAACUACGUG
rnacentral:rRNA from 1 species